CCUACGGGUGGCUGCAGUGGGGAAUAUUGGGCAAUGGGCGCAAGCCUGACCCAGCAACGCCGCGUGAAGGAAGAAGGCUUUCGGGUUGUAAACUUCUUUUCUCAGGGACGAAGCAAGUGACGGUACCUGAGGAAUAAGCCACGGCUAACUACGUGCCAGCAGCCGCGGGAAUACGUAGGUGGCAAGCGUUAUCCGGAUUUACUGGGUGUAAAGGGCGUGUAGGCGGGACUGCAAGUCAGAUGUGAAAACCAUGGGCUCAACCCAUGGCCUGCAUUUGAAACUGUAGUUCUUGAGUGUGUGAGAGGAUAGUGGAAUUCAAGGUGUAGCAGUGAAAUACGUAGAUAUCUGGAGGAACAUCAGUGGCGAAGGCGACUAUCUGGCACAUAACUGACGCUGAGGAGCGAAAGCGUGGGUAGCAAACAGGAUUAGAUACCCGUGUAGUC
rnacentral:rRNA from 1 species